AUGGGACACCCAACAUGGGACAUGAUCGGCGGCGGCGAGUUGAUGGCUGAUUUCUUUGUUAUCCUUUGUUGUGGUCAGUGGUUUCGCAUCCUUCUCGAUCCCUUGCCACAAGGCAAUAAAUCACAAAAGAGCAGACACCACCCUGUGCUCCGCCUUCCAUGCACAUGUAUUCUUCUCUGGACUCCGAACCAAAAGCUUCUUCAGUUGAUUGCGCAUCGAGGGCACCAUUAUUGA
rnacentral:rRNA from 1 species